GCCCCCUUAGCUGAGAGGCCUAGCACCGCUCUUGUAAAGCGGCGACGCCAGUUCGAAUCUGGCAGGGGGCU
rnacentral:tRNA from 2 species